rnacentral:tRNA from 1 species
UCCUUCAAAACGGGAGAAGCCCCCGGAGACUGUUGACGUCUCCUGCCGCGUUUGCAGCGCGCCGKUUCGCGUGKGGGUGCUAGAGGS